rnacentral:Y_RNA from 1 species
GGCUGGUCUGAAGUAGUAAAUUAUCUCACUUGAUUGUUCACAGUUUCUUACAGGUUGAACUCCUUGUUCUACUACUUUCCACCUUCUCACUGCUGCACUUGACUUGUCAAAA